rnacentral:lncRNA from 1 species
UCCACAUCCCACCCCAAGCCCACAGCCUGCUUCAUCCCAACUGCAAUCUCAACUACUCCCUCACCUCCUUCUUCCAAAGAGAAAGAUGUGAAAAAGCAAAAUCAGUCAGUCUGAUCUCACCUUCCCUUCCCUCCAUUUAAUGGAGGGUUGGGGGUUGGGGAGAGCAUGCAACAAGGAAAUAGCUCUGGAAUCCAGAACAUCUGGCUUCUAUUCAGACCCAAUCACCAACCUUGGGAGCAUAUUGAAAGCAUUUGGCUGUCUCAACAGUCUAAAAGAAGCUAUUUAUUUCAGACUCAACAACCAGCCCAACCAUAUGCUUCCAUUUGGAAACA